rnacentral:lncRNA from 1 species
GUAGGGGUGAGCAUAAAUAGGGUCGGACCGAAAAAAACCGAGAACCUACCCGAUUAAUAACCGAACCUGACCCGAGAUAUAGCAUAUAGGGUAGUAGUCGGUUCCAAUAUAUUUUAUGAAUCGGGUAUCGGGUCGGUUCCGGUACACAAAAAGUAAAACCUGAGUUCAAGUUACCUGGACCGAUUUGUACCCAACUGGGCUUUGGCCUGGGUUGGUGGAAGGCUGCAUCUUCAAAAUACCCUGUAUUAGCGAAAAUGGCGAAAUAUAUGUUUACUAAUUAGUAGUUUAUUUUUAUUACUUAUAAUAAUACGAUAGUGUUAAUUAGAUUUUCUUUCUAUCACUAUAGACAUAUUGGCUAUCCCAGUAUCCAGUGUUGCUUCUGAGGAGGCGUUUAGUACAGGCAGAAGAGUUGUCGAUACUUAUCGAACUUCUUUAUCAACUCCGAUUGUCGAGGCAUUAAUUUGUACAGAGGAUUGGAUUCGUGCUUCAAUUAAAAAGAAAAUCUACAUCGAAGAUUCGUCAGAGUUCGAUGACAUUGGAAAAGAAAUUUAUGAUAAAGUGGAACCGGAUCACAUAAAAAUCGAUGUCGAUUAACGGAUGGCUGGAGAUGGAUACGGAAAAAAGGAGAAAGGAGUUAAAGUAGUAUCGGUUUCAGUUCGUUUGCUUUGGAUUUGUUGGAUUUCGUUUGAAUUUCUUACAUUUGUUUUGGAUUAUGUUUGAAGUUCUUAAUACUUUUUGAAUUUUUGGAUGUUUAACUUAUGAAUUUUGG